AGGAAAGCCAGCUCCUCUUGGGAGAGACACAGCUGUCCCCCCCCUGCAGCCAGUGGUACUUCAACGAGCCCUUACUCACCCAGGAGUAAGUAAAGUAAGUAAACGCGUAAGUCAGUAAAGCGCGUGAGCUUGGCCCUGUGAUGACAUUUCUGCUCUGCUCCUCUGGCAGCAGUAGUCACUGAUUUCCAGCUCACAUGCCUCUGGUUAGUCAAGUACACCCCCUUUUACAGGAAAAGUCUUUCCUGGGAAGGGUAAAGGCAGCCUGGUUUUUGCCCCAGUGUGCUUUGCUUUGUCCCCGUGAAUUUAAUGGGCUCUCUGCACUUGGCUGAGCUGAGCACAGUGUUCCCAAUUCAGCCCAUCAACUUACAAUAAAACGAUGUAAUUCAGAAGGAAAGCAUAUCUAAAUGAUCCUAAUUUAAAAUCAACAGAUAAGCUGAACAUGCAGGAGUAACACAAGGCUCAGCAACAUCUAGGGGAAGAAGGGAAAGUCUUUCCAGAUCUGACCUUUCAGCCAAGCUCCUCUGAGAAGCAAACAGAUCACCUCUGUACAGAGUUAUCUCGCAGGCUUCUGUCCAGGUGCAGAGGAGCUGCAUCAGCCCCUGCAUACACAGACAUGUGUUGGACUGGUGCACUCAGCAAAUCUUUCCUGAACGACAGCAGAAGAAACAUGCUGUAACCAUCGCUGUCACAAGUUAAGAAAGAAACUUCAGCUGAAAAAAUGCAGAUGAGUUUGCACUGGCAACUUCAUUUUGGAGAAAUGUAAUUAGUGUUUUGCACCCCUAUGAAUUUCCUGACUUCUCUCACAGAUCUCUUGGCGACCAAAGAUGGCAUCAGCACUGUGUUCACACAGAGGUUAAUGAGUAGGAGCUACAUGAGGAAUGAGGGUGGGAGGAGUUUGCUGUCCCUGCAGAACAUUCAGCAUCAUCAGAGUGCUUCGAUCAUCUGCUUGCUCAUCCUAGGAUGUGUAUUACACCAUCACUGGGAUGUGUCGCUGCGGGAUGUACGCUUAUUUACUGCACGAAGAAGUUCAGCCACAAAUAGCCAUUAAGUUGUUUGUGGAGCAUUCAGAGACAGCUGAGGAAAGACUUCCCUGGACAUCAAAGAUGACUGGGUUGGAGUGAGGGGAACUGUUGGAAUAGAAAUCUGGAAAAGCAUUUUCCUUACAGAGCCAAGGACAGCUGGCAAUCCCAACCCAGACCUGAGUUUUCUGCAUGAAACUCUGCCUUGGCCCAUGUGCGAGUGAACAUCAGGGCCUUGAGGAAGGUCAUGACCAGCUCAAGCUGUGAGAAGGAAAACCUGAUCUACCAAAAAUACCAACUGGUAUUACCUUCCCAAUAAAUUUUAAGGGAAUAGAA